GUGUGUGUGUGUGUGUGUGUGUGUGUGUGUGUGUGUGACAUGGGAUCCAACAGCAGAUUCGUGUGUGUUUCAUGAAGGACCAUUAUCAGACCUGUGAGCAUGUCAUAAAUGGGGACCGAUCAUCAUAAGACAUGAGUGCACAUUACAUGGGAGUCAUCAUCAUAAGUUUUGUGCUACACGGGAAUCAUUCUCAGACCUUUACAUGUUUUUUUUUUUACAAGGGAGCCAUCAUCAGACCCCUGUGUGCUAUAUAGGGUUAGUUAUUAAACCCAUAUGUGCUAUACGGGGUUAAUCAUUAAACCUCUAUGUGUUACAUGGGGGAUCAUCAUCAGACCCAUGUGUGUUACACGGGGUAAAUCAUCAAAUCCAUAUGUGUUACACGGGGCUAAUCAUCAGACUCAUACGUGUUACAUGGAGUAAUCAUCAUACCUGUGUGUCAUGUGCGAAGGGAGGUCAUCGUCAGAGCCGUGCAGUGCAACCCAUCCUCUCCCAUGAGUUCCCAUUUCUUAUUCAAACAACAGUACCUACAUAAUCUGUGUGGUGGUAAUCUGAACAGCUGCGCCUCUGCAGGACAAAGCAUAAAUAUAUAAUCUAAUGCGGUUAAUUUACAAACUCAUCGGUUGUCUUACUUAAUAACAAUAUUGUAUGCUUGUCUGAAGUGUUGACGUUGCUGGGGGCACAGCAUCGUUUGUGACUUCACCAGGUGCUGAUGUCAUGGUGUGGCUUCACCAGGUGCUGAUGUCAUGGUGUGGCUUCACCAGGUGCUGAUGUCAUGGUGUGGCUUCACCAGGUGAUGUCAUGGUGUGGCUUCACCAGGUGAUGUCAUGGUGUGGCUUCACCAGGUGAUGUCAUGGUGUGGAUUCACCAGGUGAUGUCAUGGUGAGGCUUCAUCAGGUGUUGAUGUCAUAUUGUGGCUUCGCCAGGUGUUGUCAUGGUGUAGGUUCACCAGGUGCUGAUGUCAUGGUGUGGCUUUUACAUGUAUUGAUGGCAUGGUGUGGUUCACCAAAUGUCAAAUUGUGGCUUCACCAGGUGCUAACGUCAUGGUGUGGCUUUACCAGGUGAUGUCAUAGUGUGGCUUCACCAUGUGCUGAUUCCAUGGUGUGGCUUUGCCAGGUGAUGUCAUGGUGUGGCUUCACCUGGUGCUGAUGUCAUGGUGUGGCUUCACCAGGUGAUGUCAUUGUGUGGCUGAGGCGGGUGUUAAUGCCAUUGUGUGGCUUUGCCACGUGUUGAUGUCAUGGUGUGGAUUCUCCAGGUGCUGAUGUCAUGGUGUGGCUUCACCAGGUGAUGUCAUGGUGUGGCUUCCCCAGGUGUUGAUGUCAUGGUGUGGCUUCACCAGGUGUUGUCAUGGUAUGGCUUCACCAAGUGUUGAUGUCAUGGUAUGGCUUCACCGGGCGUUAACAUCAUUGUGUGGCUUCACCAAGUGUUCAGAUUAUGGUGUGGCUUCACCAGGUGUUGACAUCACAGUGUGCCUUCACCAGGUGUUGACAUGGUGUGGCUUCACCAGGUGUUGCUGUUAACCUGUAGAGUCUCCACAAUUGAUGCCGAGCUGUGGCCCUGCCACAUUGAUGUCAAGCUGUGGCCCCGCCUUAUUGACGCCAGGCUGUGGCUUCACCAUGUAGGGGCUAACCGAACCAUCAAGAGCCUCACCACCAGACACAUGCACUCACAAAACUGUGUACUGAAUGUUGUUUUGUUUGUAAAGUCUAGCAGUCCUGGAGAGUUGAGAGUUUAGUCCUGAUGCCCCGGUGUAGGGCAGGGCCACCAAAUGUACAGGUGCCGCCAGGGCCACCAAGUGUUACAGGUGCUGCCAGGGCCACGAAGUGUACAGGUGCCGCCAACAAGUGUACAAAGAAGUACAAGCAGUGCUGCGCGGUGCGGACGGCCUCCCUCCCCACUGCCCCCCUAGAUGGGGGCGACCCUGGUUACUCUGAGAGUAACUGGACCCGAGAGGACGGCGCCCGUCUGCUCUGACGGAGACAACAGCGCUGCUCGUGCGAGCGUCCUAGGUGUGUGACAACCGUGACGUCAUCCAUGUUGUUUGUACUUAGGCUACACAGGUGUCGUAGACACAAACAGUAUGUUUUCUCUUAAAUAAAUGAUCUCAAAAACUCUGUUGUAAA